CGGGGAGUGGCGCAGCCUGGUUAGCGCGCAUGCUUGGGGUGCAUGAGGCCGGCAGUUCAAAUCUGCUCUCCCCGACCA
rnacentral:tRNA from 1 species